rnacentral:rRNA from 1 species
AGGACGAACGCUGGCGGCGUGCUUAACACAUGCAAGUCGAGCGGAAAGGCCUUUCGGGGUACUCGAGCGGCGAACGGGUGAGUAACACGUGAGUAAUCUGCCCAUCGCUUCAGGAUAGCCAUCGGAAACGGUGAUUAAUACUGGAUAUGACAUUCCUUCGCAUGUUGGGGUGUGGAAAGUUUUUUCGGCGGUGGAUGUGCUCGCGGCCUAUCAGCUUGUUGGUGGGUAAUGGCCUACCAAGGCUUUGACGGGUAGCCGGCCUGAGAGGGUGACCGGCCACGACUGGGACUGGAGACGACCGGCCCGGACUCCGUACGGGAGGCAGCAGGUGGGAAUAGUUGGACAAGUGGGACGGAAGCCGUAGAUCCGAGCAACGGCCGCGGUGAGGGAUCGACCGGCCGUUCGGGUUAGUAAACC